UGUAACUGAUUUACUUGAUUCUGUCAUUUUCCUAUCCAUUUAAUCUGAACCUUGAUCAUCACUUCUUAAGUUGGUUAUCUUGUUAACUUGGGUUGAAGCUUUGUAAACAAUGCGAAUAAACGUCAAGAGAAAACAAAAGUCAAUAUAAUUAGUAUCACUUUAACACUAUUAGCAUCAUGUUGGUAAACUGAUCUCACAAUGAAUUUACAAGUUAAUCAAAUAAUGUAACCAAUUAAAAUGACUCUUUUCCACUUUCAGGUAAACAAGUUGAUGCAUGUAGUCUGACAAAACUAAAAAUGACUAUUUCCAGAGAAAUCUUGGCCUGGUUCAUCAGUUUGAACACCCACAGAUCAUCUCUGGCUAGAUGGAUGGUCAGUACAAAAAUAACCUGUCAAGAUCAAUUGUCAAAUUUGCUACCUCAUUGUAUUUCAAUAACUCAUCAUGUCAAUUUUCAAUGCUAUGUCAACUUUACGUGAUUUGACUUCCAAUGACCCAUCAAGAUUAAUGAUACCUUUGAUAACUCGUGUAGUACUUGUGCCAUUGAUGAUAAUUAUUCGUCAAAUUGGAUUCAUCUUAUUAUUGGCUGGUGGUGCUUUAUUCUUGAGCGCCAGUUUGAUUGCAGCUUUUUUCAUGGGCGUCCCGCUGUCCAGGUCAUUUGGUAAUUUUGGUGAAUUUACUCAAAGAUUCAACUUUACUGGAUAUGGGUUAAAGUGACAAGACAAGUGAUUAAAUAACAAGAGACUCUCGGAAGACUAAUUAAUGCUUGUAAAAUAAUUUGCUCUUCAUCAUAAAUGGAUGGAGAAACGAAUGGAAAACUAUUGAGAUCUCAUGAAAAAAGUUACUUAACAUUACCCAAUGCUUCCGUUUUUGUAUUUAUCACUUCAAAUGUUUCAAUCAAUGUAUCUUGAUUUAAUCGGAAAUGAAAAAAUCUUACUCUUCAAUUUCCGAAUCUUAAAAUCUUGCUAUAUCUGCUUUGUGCCUUAUACAAACAUACCUUAUACCUUUCAAUGAAUAGAGCCUCUACAAUGUGUCUUCAUUUUAUGGAAGGAAGUGAAAUGAUUUUUUAAUAAAUUUAAGAAUCAAUACA